CCGCCCCUGGUGGGAGCGAGCACGUCUGGCCCUGCUGGGAGCGAGCACGUCCGGCCCUGGUGGGAGCGAGCACGUCUGGCCAUGGUGGGAGCGAGUACGUCCGCCCCUGGUGGGAGCGAGCACGUCUGGCCAUGGUGGGGGCGAGUACGUACGCCGUGGAAACUGACAAGCUCUUCGCUUGAGGACUUGAACCGUUUUGAAUUGUAGAGCUGGUUUACCAGCAAGCCACUGGUUUCGGGAGACUAUAGAGCUUCAAGGAGCUGAUUUGACUGGGGUUGACGUGGACUGCUUCCAAUGUGGAUGAGAGCAAAGUUCCAGAAGCAAUUUCAAAUUUAGUUUUAUUCCAGGAGUUGACAAGCUUUUUGUAAAAGAGUCAGAUAAUAAAUAUUUUGCACUUUGUGAGUUGCA